rnacentral:rRNA from 1 species
UGAAGCAGUGAGGAAUAUUGGUCAAUGGCCUAACGGCUGAACCAGCAACUUGGAGGAAUGUACAGGGAAAACUGGUAAAAAUGUGAUGUACCUACUAAUAUUAGUGAUUAAAAUUAGAUUAAUUAAGUUAAUUAAAAUUCAAAGUAGAUUUUGAUUAUGACAGAAUUUGCUUAUGUCUUGACCAAGUCACGUGCCAGCAGUCGCGGUAAUACGUGGAAGAUAAGCGUUAUUCAUGUUUAAAAGGUUUAAAGGGUACCUAGACGGUUAAUUUAACAUUAAAAGUGAAUUAAUUAACUAGAGUUUAAUGUAAGAAAGAUUGAGUACGGUUAGUGUAGUGAUUUAAUACUAUGAUACAACUUUGGAACUGGUAAAGGCGAAGGCCACUUUCUAUGUAAAAACUGACGUUGAAGGACGAAGG